rnacentral:rRNA from 1 species
CCUACGGGAGGCAGCAGUGAGGAAUAUUGGUCAAUGGACGAGAGUCUGAACCAGCCAAGUAGCGUGAAGGAUGACUGCCCUAUGGGUUGUAAACUUCUUUUAUAUGGGAAUAAAAUGUUCCACGUGUGGGCUUUUGUAUGUACCAUCUGAAUAAGGAUCGGCGAACUCCGUGCCAGCAGCCGCGGUAAUACGGAGGAUCCGAGCGUUAUCCGGAUUUAUUGGGUUUAAAGGGAGCGUAGGUGGAUUGUUAAGUCAGUUGUGAAAGUUUGCGGCUCAACCGUAAAAUUGCAGUUGAAACUGGCAGUCUUGAGUACAGUAGAGGUGGGCGGAAGUCGUGGUGUAGCGGUGAAAUGCUUAGAUAUCACGAAGAACUCCGAUUGCGAAGGCAGCUCACUGGACUGCAACUGACACUGAGGCUCGAAAGUGUGGGUAUCAAACAGGAUUAGAUACCCCAGUAGUC